CUAAGUCCGUGAGUUCAAAGGAAAGAUCCACCUGACAUUAUGAAAUACUUCAAUUAUAUUAGCUUUGCUUCUUUGCUCUUCUUGGCUGGUGAAUCGGCCACUGUCACUUUGACCCAGCCUCCUGAAGCAUCUGCAUUACCAGGGACCUCCAUUACUCUGACUUGCCAGGUGUCAGGAUAUAAUAUCAAUGACCACCAUAUGAGCUGGUGUCGUCAAUCUAGGGGGGGAAAGCUGGUCUUUAUCACAUCCUUCAGGACUGGAUUUGACACAUACACUGCCAACGAAUUUAAGGGCCGUGUAACUCCUUCCACUCGUGCUUCAACAGCACAGCUAAGGAUAGAUGGUCUAAAAGUAGGAGAUACUGCCACCUACUAUUGUGCAAGCGACACAGUGACCAAAUUUGGGACAGUUGUCGCACAAUAUCUUGAAGGAGACCCAACGUAUCUUGCUCAAGACCUCUUGUUCAUGGGUUUUCCCCUCCUCAUUCCAUGGCUUAGUUUCACUUCCUUGUUUGAGUGAGGCACAUGCUCUGUAAAUUUGCU